GUAACCAUUUGUUGGAAGCUUUUCCCUUUUGUUCAAAGAGUAAAACUCUGAAAAAAAAAAAGAUUUUUUAAUUUUUUUUUUUUUAAAGAAUUCAGCUUUAAAACCAUCGCCGUUGUGAGGUUGCCGUCGUGGCUUACUGGUUACGAGUCUGGCUGAUCCAUGAAAUGGUGAUGACCUAAAGUCUGAUACAUUA
rnacentral:ncRNA from 1 species